UACGAAGGGGGCUAGCGUUGCUCGGAAUUACUGGGCGUAAAGCGCACGUAGGCGGCUUUCUAAGUCGGGGGUGAAAUCCUGGAGCUCAACUCCAGAACUGCCUUCGAUACUGGGAAACUUGAGUCCGGGAGAGGUGAGUGGAACUGCGAGUGUAGAGGUGAAAUUCGUAGAUAUUCGCAAGAACACCAGUGGCGAAGGCGGCUCACUGGCCCGGUACUGACGCUGAGGUGCGAAAGCGUGGGGAGCAAACAGG
rnacentral:rRNA from 1 species